GACGAACGCUGGCGGCGUGCUUAACACAUGCAAGUCGAGCGGUAAGGCCCUUUCGGGGGUACACGAGCGGCGAACGGGUGAGUAACACGUGGGUGACCUGCCCUCAGCUCUGGGAUAAGCCUGGGAAACCGGGUCUAAUACUGGAUAUGACUCCAUGACGCAUGUUGUGGGGUGGAAAGCCUUGUGCGGCUGAGGAUGGGCCCGCGGCCUAUCAGCUUGUUGGUGGGGUGAUGGGCCUACCAAGGCGACGACGGGUAGCCGGCCUGAGAGGG
rnacentral:rRNA from 1 species